GAUGAACGCUAGCUACAGGCUUAACACAUGCAAGUCGAGGGGUAGCAGGGUAGCAAUACCGCUGACGACCGGCGCACGGGUGAGUAACACGUAUCCAACCUUCCCAUAACUCGGGGAUAGCCUUUCGCAAGAAAGAUUAAUACCCGAUAGUACUUAUAUAGGGCAUCCUACAUAAGUUAAAGAUUUAUUGGUUAUGGAUGGGGAUGCGUUCCAUUAGAUAGUUGGUGAGGUAACGGCUCACCAAGUCUUCGAUGGAUAGGGGUUCUGAGAGGAAGGUCCCCCACAUUGGUACUGAGACACGGACCAAACUCCUACGGGAGGCAGCAGUGAGGAAUAUUGGUCAAUGGGCGAGAGCCUGAACCAGCCAAGUAGCGUGAAGGAUGAUGGUCCUAUGGAUUGUAAACUUCUUUUAUAGUAGAAUAAAGUGAUCCACGUGUGGAUUUUUGUAUGUAUACUAUGAAUAAGGAUCGGCUAACUCCGUGCCAGCAGCCGCGGUAAUAC
rnacentral:rRNA from 1 species